rnacentral:rRNA from 1 species
UACGUAGGGUGCAAGCGUCGUCCGGAUUUAUUGGGCGUAAAGAGCUCGUAGGCGGUCUGUCGCGUCGGAUGUGAAAACCCAGGGCUCAACCCUGGGCCUGCAUUCGAUACGGGCAGACUAGAGUACGGCAGGGGAGACUGGAAUUCCUGGUGUAGCGGUGAAAUGCGUUGAUAUCCACAGGAACUCCGGUGGCGAAGGCGGCGUGCUGGACCCGAUCUGACGCUGAGGCGCGAAAGCCAGGGGAGCAAACGGG